AAUAACUUUGCCGAAUCUGUUUCCAGGCAUUGGUAAAGAUUGGCUUCACGCUGGAUUUUCCUGCAUUUUACUCUGCCUGUGCGCUUCCAAUUGUAGAAUAUGAUUCAACUGAGAGGACGUAUUCUGAAGAUGAUUCAUGUAUGCUGCACUUUGUAAAAUUUCUCAAAUGCAUUUCUAUAGCCAAGUUAACUUUGUCCUGCAUACGCUGAGAUAAUCAUUUUUGAGGUUUAGAUAUUUCUCC